rnacentral:tRNA from 2 species
GGGCUUUUAGCUUAACGGUAGAGCACACCCCUGAUAAGGGUGAGGUUGCUGGUUCGAAUCUAGCAAGGCCCU